ACAACUUACGCCCAUGAUUGACUCUAAUUCUUCACAUAAACCAUGUUCUCUCUCCCAAAAAUCUUGGUUUCGCUAGGAGUGCAGUAAAGGGAAUGUUGGAAGAAGUGUAGAUAUCAUGGCCACAGACCAGUGGGCUUAAACCUUGAAGCCUGGCAAGGAUUAUGAGACUGGAAACUCCCAUUGAGACUACCAAAUGAAGAGAAAGUUUCAGACUGUUUAACUCGGACUAAGGGAAAAGAAGCAAAUUACAACAAGGAGAAUAUUGCCGAGAAAGCAAAGACAAGUGAAAAGUCGAGUGAAGAAAAAGCAAACAAGGCUUCACGAUCUGCAACUAGGCCACUGGCGAUGAAGAAGAAAAAUGUACAGCUAAAGAAGAUACAUCAGUGAUCAACUAAAGCUGGGUGACUUAUAUUGGAUUGACGAGGUG